GGGGCUGUAGCUCAGUGGGAGAGCGCUUCCUUGGCAUGGAAGAGGUCGUGGGUUCGACUCCCAUCAGCUCCACCA
rnacentral:tRNA from 1 species